rnacentral:rRNA from 1 species
UACGAAGGGGGCUAGCGUUGCUCGGAAUCACUGGGCGUAAAGGGUGCGUAGGCGGGUCUUUAAGUCAGGGGUGAAAUCCUGGGAGCUCAACUCCAGAACUGCCUUUGAUACUGAGGAUCUUGAGUUCGGGAGAGGUGAGUGGAACUGCGAGUGUAGAGGUGAAAUUCGUAGAUAUUCGCAAGAACACCCGUGGCUAAGGCGGCUCUCUAGUACGGUACUGGACGCUGAGACGCGAAAGCGUGGGGAGCGAACAGG